rnacentral:rRNA from 1 species
GCGGCGUGCUUAACACAUGCAAGUCGAACGGAAAGGCCCUGCUUUUGUGGGGUGCUCGAGUGGCGAACGGGUGAGUAACACGUGAGUAACCUGCCCUUGACUUUGGGAUAACUUCAGGAAACUGGGGCUAAUACCGGAUAGGAGCUCCUGCUGCAUGGUGGGGGUUGGAAAGUUUCGGCGGUUGGGGAUGGACUCGCGGCUUAUCAGCUUGUUGGUGGGGUAGUGGCUUACCAAGGCUUUGACGGGUAGCCGGCCUGAGAGGGUGACCGGCCACAUUGGGACUGAGAUACGGCCCAGACUCCUACGGGAGGCAGCAGUGGGGAAUAUUGCACAAUGGGCGGAAGCCUGAUGCAGCAACGCCGCGUGCGGGAUGACGGCCUUCGGGUUGUAAACCGCUUUCGCCUGUGACGAAGCGUGAGUGACGGUAAUGGGUAAAGAAGCACCGGCUAACUACGUGCCAGCAGCCGCGGUGAUACGUAGGGUGCGAGCGUUGUCCGGAUUUAUUGGGCGUAAAGGGCUCGUAGGUGGUUGAUCGCGUCGGAAGUGUAAUCUUGGGGCUUAACCCUGAGCGUGCUUUCGAUACGGGUUGACUUGAGGAAGGUAGGGGAGAAUGGAAUUCCUGGUGGAGCGGUGGAAUGCGCAGAUAUCAGGAGGAACACCAGUGGCGAAGGCGGUUCUCUGGGCCUUUCCUGACGCUGAGGAGCGAAAGCGUGGGGAGCGAACAGGCUUAGAUACCCUGGUAGUCCACGCUGUAAACGGUGGGUACUAGGUGUGGGGUCCAUUCCACGGGUUCCGUGCCGUAGCUAACGCUUUAAGUACCCCGCCUGGGGAGUACGGCCGCAAGGCUAAAACUCAAAGGAAUUGACGGGGCCCCGCACAAGCGGCGGAGCAUGCGGAUUAAUUCGAUGCAACGCGUAGAACCUUACCUGGGUUUGACAUGGAUCGGGAGUGCUCAGAGAUGGGUGUGCCUCUUUUGGGGUCGGUUCACAGGUGGUGCAUGGCUGUCGUCAGCUCGUGUCGUGAGAUGUUGGGUUAAGUCCCGCAACGAGCGCAACCCUUGUUCACUGUUGCCAGCACGUUAUGGUGGGGACUCAGUGGAGACCGCCGGGGUCAACUCGGAGGAAGGUGGGGAUGACGUCAAGUCAUCAUGCCCCUUAUGUCCAGGGCUUCACGCAUGCUACAAUGGCUGGUACAGAGAGUGGCGAGCCUGUGAGGGUGAGCGAAUCUCGGAAAACCGGUCUCAGUUCGGAUUGGGGUCUGCAACUCGACCUCAUGAAGUCGGAGUCGCUAGUAAUCGCAGAUCAGCAACGCUGCGGUGAAUACGUUCCCGGGGCUUGUACACACCGCCCGUCAAGUCAUGAAAGUUGGUAACACCCGAAGCCGGUGGCCUAACCGUUGUGGGGGAGCCGUCGAAGGUGGGACUGGUGAUUAGGACU